rnacentral:rRNA from 1 species
AACGAACGCUGGCGGCAUGCCUAACACAUGCAAGUCGAACGAGACCUUCGAGUCUAGUGGCGCACGGGUGCGUAACGCGUGGGAACCUGCCCUUAGGUUCGGAAUAACUCCCCGAAAGGGGUGCUAAUACCGGAUAAUUUCUUCGGACCAAAGAUUUAUCGCCUUUGGAUGGGCCCGCGUUGGAUUAGCUAGUUGGUAGGGUAAAAGCCUACCAAGGCGACGAUCCAUAGCUGGUCUGAGAGGAUGAUCAGCCACACUGGGACUGAGACACGGCCCAGACUCCUACGGGAGGCAGCAGUGGGGAAUAUUGGACAAUGGGCGAAAGCCUGAUCCAGCAAUGCCGCGUGAGUGAUGAAGGCCUUAGGGUUGUAAAGCUCUUUUACCCGGGAUGAUAAUGACAGUACCGGGAGAAUAAGCUCCGGCUAACUCCGUG